rnacentral:tRNA from 1 species
GCUUCUGUGGAGCAAAUGGUUAGCGCGUUCGGCUGUUAACCGAAAGGUUGGUGGUUCAAGCCCACCCAGGAGCG